rnacentral:rRNA from 1 species
CGUCGAACUCUUACGACUCUCGGCAACGGAUAUCUUGGCUCUCGCAUCGAUGAAGAACGUAGCGAAAUGCGAUACUUGGUGUGAAUUGCAGAAUCCCGUGAACCAUCGAGUCUUUGAAAGCAAGUUGCGCCCGAGGCUAUCCGGCCGAGGGCACGCCUGCCUGGGCGUCACGC